AUGUUCUUUUGGUUUUCUUUAAAAGAUUUGGCCUGCUCACUGAAAUUUAAAGAGCUGCAGUAUUAUGACUGUACAAAGGUAGCAUAAUCAUUAGUUUUUUAAUUGAAGGCUGGUAUGAAAGGUUUGACCCAGAGACACUGUCUUAUACUUAAGUGUUGAAUUUUUCUUUUUUGUUAAAAGACAAAAAUAACUAUAAGGGACAAGAAGACCCUUUUAAAAUUAAUUGGUAGCAUGGUUUUUAUGUAUAUUAUUAUUGUGAAAUUAUGUUUAUUGGUUUGGCUGGGGCGGCAAAUAUAAAUGAACAAUAUUUAAAAUAAAUAUUAAAUAGCUAUUUUUAAGGUCUUAUUUGAAGACAAUAAGAAAAAGUUACUAAAGGGAUAACAGCGUAAUAUGUUUUGAGAGUUCUUAUUGACAAGCAUGUUUGCGA
rnacentral:rRNA from 1 species